GGGGAUAUAGCUCAGUUGGUAGAGUGCUUGCUUUGCAUACACCAAGGCCCUGGGUUCAAUCCCAGCACCCCCC
rnacentral:tRNA from 1 species